AACAAACGCUGGCGGCGUGCCUAAUACAUGCAAGUCGAACGAGGAAGUAUCUUCGGAUAUUGUACUAGUGGCGUACGGGUGAGUAACGCGUGGAUAAUCUUCCUUAAGGUGGGGAAUAACCAGUCGAAGGAUUGGCUAAUACCGCAUAAGACCACAACGGUUUCGGCUGAAUGGGUUAAAGGCGCAAGUCGCCUUAAGAUGAGUCUGCGCCCGAUUAGCUAGUUGGUGAGGUAAGAGCGCACCAAGGCGACGAUCGGUAGCUGGUCUGAGAGGACGGCCAGCCACACUGGGACUGAGACACGGCCCAGACUCCUACGGGAGGCAGCAGUAGGGAAUAUUGCACAAUAGAGGAAACUCUGAUGCAGCGACGCCGCGUGAGUGACGAAGGCCUUCGGGUCGUAAAGCUCUGUUCUCAGGGAAAAAGAAAGUGAUUGUACCUGAGGAGAAAGGACCGGCUAACUUCGUGCCAGCAGCCGCGGUAA
rnacentral:rRNA from 1 species